rnacentral:lncRNA from 1 species
UGAUGAAUAAAUGACAGGAAAUUCAACCUCACCGUAAUAACUAUUAUAUUGUAGUGCAAGAAAUCAGUAUACCUUGGACUAUUAUACUUAUAUAAUAAUAGUCGUAGAGAAUACACUGUUUUGUUGUUAUAUAUAUAUUAUUAAUAUUACGAUUGCAUGUAUAUAUAAUUUUCAUCUAUUUGUAUAUGAUAAUUCUAUUCUACUAUUAUUAUAGUGCAGUGCAAGUGCAUGGUGGACACUCUUCUGUAAAAAAAAAUCAAAGCCUUAAAGGCUGUAAAAGCAAUUGCUGCCAUGUUAAUGUUUUGGGGACUUUUAUUUUCAUCUACAUAUAUAAGAAUUAAACCUGACAGGACAUGGUUGUCUAGUGAAAAGCAAGAAGGUUUUGACUUUAUAUCAAUAAAAGAAUUAAGCAGGAAAUCAUUUU